UGAGACGACUUGGCAAUCGCACUGAUAGUAAUAUCGGUGAGGAAAGUCCGGGCUCCAUAGGGUAAGGUGCCAGGUAACACCUGGGGGGCGCGAGCCCACGGCCAGUGCAACAGAGAGUAUACCGCCGAAGCGAUUCGGUAAGGGUGAAAGGGUGCGGUAAGAGCGCACCGCGCUUCUGGUAACAGAAGUGGCAUGGUAAACCCCACCUGGAGCAAGACCAAAUAGAGGAACGUCUGCUUGCAGACAUGUGCGACCCGUACUGUUCCUGGGUAGGUUGCUUGAGGCUGAUGGUGACAUCAGUCCCAGAUGAAUGAUUGUCCACGACAGAACCCGGCUUAUCGGUCGUCUCAACCU
rfam:Methylophaga aminisulfidivorans MP 54_1, whole genome shotgun sequence.